rnacentral:rRNA from 1 species
GACGAACGCUGGCGGCGUGCCUAAUACAUGCAAGUCGAGCGAAUCAAUGGGAGCUUGCUCCCUGAGAUUAGCGGCGGACGGGUGAGUAACACGUGGGUAACCUGCCUGUAAGACUGGGAUAACUUCGGGAAACCGGAGCUAAUACCGGAUACGUUCUUUUCUCGCAUGAGAAGAGAUGGAAAGAUGGCUCUACUAUCACUUACAGAUGGACCCGCGGCGCAUUAGCUAGUUGGUGAGGUAACGGCUCACCAAGGCGACGAUGCGUAGCCGACCUGAGAGGGUGAUCGGCCACACUGGGACUGAGACACGGCCCAGACUCCUACGGGAGGCAGCAGUAGGGAAUCUUCCGCAAUGGACGAAAGUCUGACGGAGCAACGCCGCGUGAGCGAAGAAGGCCUUCGGGUCGUAAAGCUCUGUUGUUAGGGAAGAACAAGUACGAGAGUAACUGCUCGUACCUUGACGGUACCUAACCAGAAAGCCACGGCUAACUACGUGCCAGCAGCCGCCGCAG